rnacentral:rRNA from 1 species
UACGUAGGGUGCGAGCGUUAAUCGGAAUUACUGGGCGUAAAGCGUGCGCAGGCGGUUUUGUAAGCCAGAUGUGAAAUGCCCGGGCUUAACCUGGGAACUGCAUUUGUGACUGCAUGGCUAGAGUGUGUCAGAGGGGGGUAGAAUUCCACGUGUAGCAGUGAAAUGCGUAGAUAUGUGGAGGAACACCGAUGGCGAAGGCAAUCCCCUGGACCUGUACUGACGCUCAUGCACGAAAGGCGUGGGGAGCAAACGAGGAUUAGAA